GAAUUCGCCCUUAGAGUUUGAUCCUGGCUCAGGAUGAACGCUGGCGGCGUGCCUAACACAUGCAAGUCGAACGGAGUUCUUAAGGAAUGCGACUUCGGUCAAAUGACUUUUGAACUUAGUGGCGGACGGGUGAGUAACGCGUGAGCAACCUGCCUUUCAGAGGGGGAUAACAUUUGGAAACAGAUGCUAAUACCGCAUAAGAUUACAGUACCGCAUGAUACAGUGAUCAAAGGAGCAAUCCGCUGAAAGAUGGGCUCGCGUCCGAUUAGAUAGUUGGUGAGGUAACGGCUCACCAAGUCGACGAUCGGUAGCCGGACUGAGAGGUUGAACGGCCACAUUGGGACUGAGACACGGCCCAGACUCCUACGGGAGGCAGCAGUGGGGAAUAUUGCACAAUGGGCGAAAGCCUGAUGCAGCAACGCCGCGUGAGGGAAGACGGUUUUCGGAUUGUAAACCUCUGUUUUCGGUGACGAACAAAUGACGGUAACCGAGUAGGAAGCCACGGCUAACUACGUGCCAGCAGCCGCGGUAAUACGUAGGUGGCAAGCGUUAUCCGGAAUUACUGGGUGUAAAGGGAGCGCAGGCGGGAUAGCAAGUCAGCUGUGAAAACUAUGGGCUCAACCCAUAAACUGCAGUUGAAACUGUUAUUCUUGAGUGGAGUAGAGGCAAGCGGAAUUCCGAGUGUAGCGGUGAAAUGCGUAGAUAUUCGGAGGAACACCAGUGGCGAAGGCGGCUUGCUGGGCUCUAACUGACGCUGAGGCUCGAAAGUGUGGGGAGCAAACAGGAUUAGAUACCCUGGUAGUCCACACUGUAAAC
rnacentral:rRNA from 1 species